rnacentral:rRNA from 1 species
AGUGAACGCUGGCGGUAGGCCUAACACAUGCAAGUCGAACGGCAGCACAGUAAGCGCUUGCUCUUACUGGUGGCGAGUGGCGGACGGGUGAGGCAUACAUCGGAAUCUACUUUUUCGUGGGUGAUAACGUAGGGAAACUUACGCUAAUACCGCAUACGUCCUACGGGUUAAAGCAGGGGAUCUUCGGACCUUGCGCGAUUGAAUGAGCCGAUGUCGGAUUAGCUAGUUGGCGAGGUAAAGGCCCACCAAGGCGACGAUCCGUAGCUGGUCUGAGAGGAUGAUCAGCCACACUGGAACUGAGACACGGUCCAGACUCCUACGGGAGGCAGCAGUGGGGAAUAUUGGACAAUGGGCGCAAGCCUGAUCGAGCAAUACCGCGUGAGUGAAGAAGGCCUUCGGGUUGUAAAGCCCUUUUGUUGGGAAAGAAAAGCAGCAGGUUAAUACCCCGAUGUUCUGACGGUACCCAAAGAAUAAGCACCGGCUAACUUCGUG